GGGGGAGUAGAUUAUUUAGUUUAGAACCUGCUUAUCUUGAGGUUGAUUUUAUGGUUAGGCGGGUGUCCCCCUCCUCCCUCACCGAUCCAUGUGCGUCCCUCCCGAAGCUGCGCGCUCGGUCGAAGAGGACGACCUUCCCCCCCGAGGAGAGGACCGGUCUUCGGUCAAGGGUAUACGAGUAGCUGCGCUCCCCUGCUAGAACCUCCAAACAAGCUCUCAAAGAUAAGGAAUUCAAAAAGAGAAACAAUUUGGGGGAGUAGAUUAUUUAGUUUAGAACCUGCUUAUCUUG
rnacentral:snRNA from 1 species